CCUGAAGAUGUUGAAUUGCUCAGAAAAAGACAUUAACUUUUUCAUGGUCUUGAAGUACUUAUGGAAUCGAUUUCUCCGACUUCAGCCACUCCAUAUGUAUUCCGUGUGUCUUUUGGUUGGGUUGUAUUCUGUUACUCCUUGGGGAGCACUGUGGGAGUUCUUGAAACUUGAGGUGGAUAACUGUAGAAGAGUGUGGUGGACCAACCUAUUGCUGAUAAACAACUUCAUUGCUGGGCCUGAAUCAUGUAAUGGAUGGACAUGGUAUCUUGCAAAUGAUUUCCAGUUUUAUUUCAUAA